rnacentral:snoRNA from 1 species
GCUCUUCACUGUGAUGAAAUCAUCUCCUAUCUCCUAUCGGGUCUUGGCCAUGAUUAUGACUCCUUUGUUACUACCAUCACAGCUCGCACAGAUCCUAUCACCUUAGAGGAAGUAUAUGCUCUCUUACUCACCACUGAGU